CGGAUUUGAUCCCUGGAAGACGGCAUGGCAACCCACUCUAGUAUUCUUGCCUGGAAAAUCCCUUGGACAGAGGAGCCUUGAGGGCUAGAGUCUAUGGGGUUCCAAAGAGUCGGGCACGCCUGAAGCACCUGAGCACAGCACAUG